rnacentral:rRNA from 1 species
AGUGAACGCUGGCGGUAGGCCUAACACAUGCAAGUCGAACGGCAGCACAGUAAGAGCUUGCUCUUACGGGUGGCGAGUGGCGGACGGGUGAGGAGUACAUCGGAAUCUACUUUUUCGUGGGGGAUAACGUAGGGAAACUUACGCUAAUACCGCAUACGACCUACGGGUGAAAGCAGGGGAUCUUCGGACCUUGCGCGAUUGAAUGAGCCGAUGUCGGAUUAGCUAGUUGGCGGGGUAAAGGCCCACCAAGGCGACGAUCCGUAGCUGGUCUGAGAGGAUGAUCGGCCACACUGGAACUGGGACACGGUCCAGACUCCUGCGGGAGGCAGCAGUGGGGAAUAUUGGACAAUGGGCGCAAGCCUGAUCCAGCCAUACCGCGUGGGUGAAGAAGGCCUUCGGGUUGUAAAGCCCUUUUGUUGGGAAAGAAAAGCAGCAGGUUAAUACCCCGCUGUUCUGACGGUACCCAAAGAAUAAGCACCGGCUAACUUCGUG